UGCAAAACUACUGUUAGAGUUAUAAUUACUCAUCCAGAUAUGAUAAACCGCCUACCACUUUCGAUAAUUUAUUUCCCUCACUGCCCAUCCGUUAUAUGACAAAUAUAAAAACAAGAAACGUAUUCAGUAUAAAAAUAAUCAUCCUUAACUAAAGUUGACUACACAGCUUUUAAAUGGCUUAUCACUAUUUAUAUUAUUUAUUUGUGUUUGUUGUGAUACCAAUCACAACAAAUGCCAUGACAUGUGAGGAAUUAUUGGAAAAGAAAGAAUUUCUUUCUACUUUACUUCUUAAACCUCUCGGACACCUACAACAUUUACAUUUGACCGAUAAAUGUAUGGAAGCAAUUCAAAAGCAGCAUGACUUACAGGAUAUAACAAUUAUAUUUUAUUAUCUCACCGAGACACUGGUGUGUCAACUUCUACACAUGAAGCCAAAUCUAGUUAAAUUAACACUGUAUUAUAAUUCUUUAGAAAAGUUUAAUCUUGGAUGCUUGGAUACAAAUAUUAAACUAAACUCUCUUGUGAUUGAAGGAAAUGCUAACCUUGAACUCAUUGGACAGUCAAUUGUAACAGAAAAUAUAGAAAUAUUUUAUGCUGGUUAUAAUCAUCUAAAGAAAUGUCCUAUUGGAAAUGGUUGGUCUAGUCUGAAAGAAAUAAGCUUGAUUGGUAAUGUUAAUCUGCAAUGGAAUACAACGUUUCAUGUUGGUGAUUUUCCAAAGUUGAAAACUAUCAAUAAAUUACCUAAAGAUAAGUUUUUAAAUAGCAUUAAUUAUGUGGAAUAUAUAGAAGAGGAAUCUACGACAUUUACUGAAGAAUCAACUACUGAUAUCACAACUGAUAUCACUACUGAUGUCAUUACUGAAACCGCCGAACCUUUGCCAACUCUUAUACCUAAUGCUACAAUUAAUACAAAUAUUGAUAAGAUUAGUUUGGUUGUACAUUUGCAGUAUUUUAUUUCUAUUACUCUUAUUUUUAUAUUAUUUGCCAUAAUUGGAUUAAUUUUUUAUAUAGGAUAUAAAUUAAUUUUUAAUCAAUCCCGUGAAGAAACUACAUCAUUAAACCUUUUAAAAUUAUAAAUUAAAAAAAAAUUAUCUAAAUUUGAUUUGUAUAAUUAUUUUAAUGUAAUCAUUCCAUGUAUCAUUUUUUCUUUUAUUGUAAUAAAAAGUAGCUUGAGAAAAAAAAA